rnacentral:rRNA from 1 species
GAAAUGAAAAGUUAUUGAUAUUAGAAUUGGGACUUAGAAUGUUUAUAAAAGGAAUUUUUUUUUAUUAGUAUAUAUGAAUAAAGAGUGAGUUUAUUAAAAUUUAAUUAUAGAGAAUUAGUAUAGUGAAAGAAUUUUUUAUAUUUAGAAAAAGAAGGGUUUAUUUCUUGUACCUUGUGUAUCAGGGUUAAUUUAAUAAAGUUUAAGUUUUUAUAUUUCUCGAAUUUAAAAGAGCUAUAAGUACAGGGUUAUAUUGUUGAAUAAAUAUGGGAAAUGUAUUUAUUGAGGUGAAAUGCUAUUCGGUUUUAAGUAUAUCUAGUUUUUUAAGAAAAAAAUUUAAUUUUAUUUUUAUGUAUUAUAGUUUUAAGUGUUUAAUAUUAUGGUAGUAGAAUUUUCUGUCUUUAGGGAUGAGCUUAAGAACAAACUUAUAAAAUAAUUGAUUAGACUUAUUUGUGGUAGGAUUUAGAGUUUUCAUCCAUUAUAGUGUGUUUAUACUAAAAGUAGAAAAACAUGGGAUUUUUAUAUUAUUUAUGUGGUUAUUAAAAUUUAGGUUAGAGUUUAAAAGGUCUAGAAAAAAUGGUUAAAUUAGUAUAAGGAAGAGGUAUUGGUUAAAUUUAUGGCAAGGUUUUUUAAAGGAACUCGGCAAAUAUAUUUUUCACCUGUAUAAUAAAAACAUGGCUUGUUGAUAAAUGAUUUCAGGUCUGACCUGCUCGCUGAGGAGUUAAAGGGCCGCGGUAUUUUGACCGUGCAAAGGUAGCAUAAUCACUAGUUUUUUAAUUGAAAGCUUGAAUGAAGGGUUUGAUGGAGAAAUGGCUGUCUCUAGAAGAAUUUUAUAGAAUUUUAUUUUUAAGUGAAAAAGCUUAAGUGUGUAUAAAAGACGAGAAGACCCUAUAGAGUUUUAUAAAUAGAAUAUAUUAUGGUGAAAAGGGUGGUUAAGUUUCUGUUUUAUUUUUAUUUAUUUUGUUGGGGUGAUAGGAAAAUUGAUUAAACUUUUCUUGAUUGAAAUAUUGAUUUAUAGACAAAUGAUCCUUGGUGAAGAUUAUAAGAAAAAAUUACCUUAGGGAUAACAGCGUAAUUUUCUUUAGAGUUCUUAUCGAAAAGGGGGAUUGCGACCUCGAUGUUGGAUUAAAAUUAAUUGUUGGUGUAGAAGCUAAUAGUUUAGGUCUGUUCGACCUUUGAAAUUUUACAUGAUCUGAGUUUAAACCGGUGUAAGCCAGGUUGGUUUCUAUCUUUAUAAGUAUAGUUUAAAAUGUUUUAGUACGAAAGGACCGAAUAUUUGAUUAAAAAUUUUAGUUUUGAGUUAUAUUAA